GUGAACGCUGGCGGUAGGCCUAACACAUGCAAGUCGAACGGCAGCACAGUAAGAGCUUGCUCUUACGGGUGGCGAGUGGCGGACGGGUGAGGAAUACAUCGGAAUCUACUUUUUCGUGGGGGAUAACGUAGGGAAACUUACGCUAAUACCGCAUACGACCUACGGGUGAAAGUAGGGGAUCUUCGGACCUUGCGCGAUUGAAUGAGCCGAUGUCGGAUUAGCUAGUUGGCGGGGUAAAGGCCCACCAAGGCGACGAUCCGUAGCUGGUCUGAGAGGAUGAUCAGCCACACUGGAACUGAGACACGGUCCAGACUCCUACGGGAGGCAGCAGCGGGGAAUAUUGGACAAUGGGCGCAAGCCUGAUCCAGCCAUACCGCGUGGGUGAAGAAGGCCUUCGGGUUGUAAAGCCCUUUUGUUGGGAAAGAAAAGCAGCAGGUUAAUACCCCGCUGUUCUGACGGUACCCAAAGAAUAAGCACCGGCUAACUUCGUG
rnacentral:rRNA from 1 species